rnacentral:misc_RNA from 1 species
AAACUGCGAUAAGUAGCGUGAAUUGCAGACGCUUUGAACGUUAAACUUUCGAACGCACAUUGCGCCGUAGGAGUCCUACCCUGCGGCACAUCUGGUUGAGGGUCGUGAUCAAAAACAGCAGGACUAUGGCUAUAAUAGAAAUAGCUGGUGAAUCACGAGUUCGGCCUACCUCCUCUGGCCGAACGCGUUUUGCCAUAAUGCUAGAAGAGGACAAUCGCUCGCAAGAGAGAUUGCCUACCACACGGAUGAUCUAUUAGCUGAAGCAAUAGGUCUCGGUCACCGGGUAUCAUGCUUAUAUACUCUGUGGCGUCUGAGAUACAGCUAGUGGGCUUCAUACGUGCCUGGUAUUGAGAGUAUUCGCUCUCCCGACCUCAACUCAGGUGUGAUUACCCGCUGAACUUAAGC